rnacentral:rRNA from 1 species
CCUACGGGAGGCAGCAGUGGGGAAUAUUGGACAAUGGGGGGAACCCUGAUCCAGCCAUGCCGCGUGUGUGAAGAAGGCCCUCGGGUUGUAAAGCACUUUCAGUGAGGAAGAACGCCUGGUGGUUAAUACCCAUCAGGAAAGACAUCACUCACAGAAGAAGCACCGGCUAACUCCGUGCCAGCAGCCGCGGUAAUACGGAGGGUGCGAGCGUUAAUCGGAAUUACUGGGCGUAAAGCGCGCGUAGGUGGCUUGAUAAGCCGGUUGUGAAAGCCCCGGGCUCAACCUGGGAACGGCAUCCGGAACUGUCAAGCUCGAGUGCAGGAGAGGAAGGUAGAAUUCCCGGUGUAGCGGUGAAAUGCGUAGAGAUCGGGAGGAAUACCAGUGGCGAAGGCGGCCUUCUGGACUGACACUGACACUGAGGUGCGAAAGCGUGGGUAGCAAACAGGAUUAGAUACCCUGGUAGUC